AAAGCGUGCGUAGGCGGUUAUUUAAGUCUGUUGUGAAAUCCCCGGGCUCAACCUGGGAAUGGCAAUGGAUACUGGAUAGCUAGAGUGUGAUAGAGGAUGGUGGAAUUCCCGGUGUAGCGGUGAAAUGCGUAGAGAUCGGGAGGAACAUCAGUGGCGAAGGCGGCCAUCUGGAUCAACACUGACGCUGAGGCACGAAAGCGUGGGGAGCAAACAGGAUUAGAUACCCUGGUAGUCCACGCCCUAAACGAUGCGAACUGGAUGUUGGUCUCAACUCGGAGAUCAGUGUCGAAGCUAACGCGUUAAGUUCGCCGCCUGGGGAGUACGGUCGCAAGACUGAAACUCAAAGGAAUUGACGGGGGCCCGCACAAGCGGUGGAGUAUGUGGUUUAAUUCGAUGCAACGCGAAGAACCU
rnacentral:rRNA from 1 species